UACAGAGGGUGCGAGCGUUAAUCGGAAUUACUGGGCGUAAAGAGUGCGUAGGUGGUUAGGAAAGUUGAGUGUGAAAGCCCUGGGCUUAACCUGGGAAUUGCGCUCAAAACUUCUUAGCUAGAGUAUAGUAGGGGAAAGUGGAAUUUCCGGUGUAGCGGUGAAAUGCGUAGAUAUCGGAAGGAACAUCAGUGGCGAAGGCGACUUUCUGGACUAAUACUGACACUGAGGCACGAAAGCGUGGGGAGCAAACAGG
rnacentral:misc_RNA from 1 species